rnacentral:rRNA from 1 species
UGGGGAAUCUUCCGCAAUGGGCGAAAGCCUGACGGAGCAACGCCGCGUGAGUGAAGACGGCCUUCGGGUUGUAAAGCUCUGUUAUAUGGGACGAACGGGCGUAUGGUCAAUACCCAUACGCCGUGACGGUACCGUAAGAGAAAGCCACGGCUAACUACGUGCCAGCAGCCGCGGUAAUACGUAGGUGGCAAGCGUUGUCCGGAAUCAUUGGGCGUAAAGGGCGCGCAGGCGGUUCGGUAAGUCGGUCUUAAAAGUGCGGGGCUUAACCCCGUGAUGGGAUUGAAACUGCCGGACUGGAGUGUCGGAGAGGAAAGCAGAAUUCCUAGUGUAGCGGUGAAAUGCGUAGAUAUUAGGAGGAAUACCAGUGGCGAAAGCGGCUUUCUGGACGACAACUGACGCUGAGGCGCGAAAGCCAGGGGAGCAAACGGGAUUAGAUACCCC